UUGCUUCAGCAGCACAUGUACUAAGGUUGGAAGGACACAGAGAAGAUUAGCAUGGCCCCUGCACAAGGACAACACAUUCGCAAUGAGCCUGCAUCCCUGCAU
ensembl:snRNA U6 U6 spliceosomal RNA